AGAGUUUGAUCAUGGCUCAGAUUGAACGCUGGCGGCAGGCCUAACACAUGCAAGUCGAACGGUAACAGGAAGAAGCUUGCUUCUUUGCUGACGAGUGGCGGACGGGUGAGUAAUGUCUGGGAAACUGCCUGAUGGAGGGGGAUAACUACUGGAAACGGUAGCUAAUACCGCAUAACGUCGCAAGACCAAAGAGGGGGACCUUCGGGCCUCUUGCCAUCGGAUGUGCCCAGAUGGGAUUAGCUAGUAGGUGGGGUAACGGCUCACCUAGGCGACGAUCCCUAGCUGGUCUGAGAGGAUGACCAGCCACACUGGAACUGAGACACGGUCCAGACUCCUACGGGAGGCAGCAGUGGGGAAUAUUGCACAAUGGGCGCAAGCCUGAUGCAGCCAUGCCGCGUGUAUGAAGAAGGCCUUCGGGUUGUAAAGUACUUUCAGCGGGGAGGAAGGGAGUAAAGUUAAUACCUUUGCUCAUUGACGUUACCCGCAGAAGAAGCACCGGCUAACUCCGUGCCAGCAGCCGCGGUAAUACGGAGGGUGCAAGCGUUAAUCGGAAUUACUGGGCGUAAAGCGCACGCAGGCGGUUAGUUAAGUCAGAUGUGAAAUCCCCGGGCUCAACCUGGGAACUGCAUCUGAUACUGGCAAGCUUGAGUCUCGUAGAGGGGGGUAGAAUUCCAGGUGUAGCGGUGAAAUGCGUAGAGAUCUGGAGGAAUACCGGUGGCGAAGGCGGCCCCCUGGACGAAGACUGACGCUCAGGUGCGAAAGCGUGGGGAGCAAACAGGAUUAGAUACCCUGGUGGUCCACGCUGUAAACGAUGUCGACUUGGAGGUUGUGCCCUUGAGGCGUGGCUUCCGGAGCUAACGCGUUAAGUCGACCGCCUGGGGAGUACGGCCGCAAGGCUAAAACUCAAAUGAAUUGACGGGGGCCCGCACAAGCGGUGGAGCAUGUGGUUUAAUUCGAUGCAACGCGAAGAACCUUACCUGGUCUUGACAUCCACGGAAGUUUUCAGAGAUGAGAAUGUGCCUUCGGGAACCGUGAGACAGGUGCUGCAUGGCUGUCGUCAGCUCGUGUUGUGAAAUGUUGGGUUAAGUCCCGCAACGAGCGCAACCCUUAUCCUUUGUUGCCAGCGGUCCGGCCGGGAACUCAAAGGAGACUGCCAGUGAUAAACUGGAGGAAGGUGGGGAUGACGUCAAGUCAUCAUGGCCCUUACGACCAGGGCUACACACGUGCUACAAUGGCGCAUACAAAGAGAAGCGACCUCGCGAGAGCAAGCGGACCUCAUAAAGUGCGUCGUAGUCCGGAUUGGAGUCUGCAACUCGACUCCAUGAAGUCGGAAUCGCUAGUAAUCGUGGAUCAGAAUGCCACGGUGAAUACGUUCCCGGGCCUUGUACACACCGCCCGUCACACCAUGGGAGUGGGUUGCAAAAGAAGUAGGUAGCUUAACCUUCGGGAGGGCGCUUACCACUUUGUGAUUCAUGACUGGGGUGAAGUCGUAACAAGGUAACCGUAGGGGAACCUGCGGUUG
rnacentral:rRNA from 1 species